GUGGUGAGUGUUGUACCAAGGGAAGCUUAAAAUCUUCAGGGAGAUUUGGGGAACUUGGAGGAGCUUCCAGAAUUAGCAGGGAGGAGGACUUUUAAGAUGACAAAUUCCAGGAAAGUCGUGGGAUCACUUUCCAUGUGGUACACUGAUUGCAUUAGUUCCUUUAUUUAACUGAUAUUCUGGAUGCUGGGUCUAUGCCAAAUAAGAAAUCUCUGGGAUAUGAUCACCAACCUCCUGAAGGCUGUGUAUUCUGAGCCACAGGGACAAGGUGUACAUUGAAAAGAACACUGGCUUGGAGCCUGCGUUGCUGUUUGUAGGCUUUGUUGGUAGCUUGAUAUGAAAGAUAAAAGAAUAAAGUGAGACUUGUGGCUCCAGACCUCUCGGCUCAUCGGAAUCAUUGGGGGGAACUUCUGAAAAAUAAGGUUCCCCGGGCCCUGCCCUGAGGAGAGUCUGAUUCCCAAACAUGAUUGGGAAGCCUUCCUGGGAAGUGCGUUUCUGAGAAGCUCCAGAUGUGAUUCUGACUGGGGCGAGAUGGCGACCCAUUUAUUCUGAUGAAUUCGGAUGCGCUGUGUCAUUCCGAGGGACAGGUGACUGGGAAGGAAAGACGCGAAGACGAAGCCUAGCGAGUCUAGCCUGAACCCCCAGGCCUCUGCCUCUGUGCGAUGCACCAUGGCUGGCAUCAUAGAGUGUACAGUCUAAGAAGCUGGGGGGGUUGUCCUUUUCAAAGGGACUCUUUCUGACUGCCUGUCUCCGGAGCUCAGAUCCUACCCGAAGGAACUGAGAGGAGGAGCUGGGAGAGGCUGUUCUCUCUGAGAGGCACUUGUGCUUUCUUCAGCACAAGGACACUGGGGACUCAGUAAACAUAUAACUCCUUUAGAGAUGUUAUCCUGGAAACCAGAGGGAUGUAUGAAUUCUUACCUAAAUUUUCAGAUUACAAUUGACAAUUUCAAGGAGUCCACAAAAAAACUCUUAAAAGUAAGCAAAUUCAACAAGUUUACAGAUUACAAGAUCAACAUACAAAAAUUAAUUGCAUUUCUUUAUACUAACAAUGACCAGAGACAACAACAAUAUAAAUAAAAAACUACUUGCAAAGUAUGUACU